CAAGUCGAACGAUGAAGUUCCUUCGGGAAUGGAUUAGUGGCGAACGGGUGAGGAACACGUGAGAAACCUGCCUUUCAUUCUGGGAUAACACCGGGAAACCGGUGCUAAUACCGGAUACUCCGUCUUGGCGGCAUCGCCGAGCCGGGAAAAAAUUUUGAUGAAAGAUGGUCUCGCGGCCUAUCAGCUAGUUGGUGAGGUAAUGGCUCACCAAGGCGACGACGGGUAGCCGGCCUGAGAGGGCGACCGGCCACACUGGGACUGAGACACGGCCCAGACUCCUACGGGAGGCAGCAGUAGGGAAUAUUGGGCAAUGGGCGCAAGCCUGACCCAGCGACGCCGCGUGAGGGAUGAAGGUCUUCGGAUUGUAAACCUCUUUCAGUAGGGAAGAAGCGAAAGUGACGGUACCUAAAGAAGAAGCACCGGCUAACUAUGUGCCAGCAGCCGCGGUAAUACAUAGGGUGCAAGCGUUGUCCGGAAUUAUUGGGCGUAAAGAGCUCGUAGGUCGUUUGUCGCGUCGAUUGUGAAAAUCUGAGGCUCAACCUCAGACCUGCAGUCGAUACGGGCAAACUAGAGUGUGGUAGGGGAGACUGGAAUUCCUGGUGUAGCGGUGGAAUGCGCAGAUAUCAGGAGGAACACCAAUGGCGAAGGCAGGUCUCUGGGCCAUAACUGACACUGAGGAGCGAAAGUGCGGGGAGCGAACAGGAUUAGAUACCCUGGUAGUCCGCACCGUAAACGGUGGGCACUAGUUGUGGGAACCUUCCACGGUUUCCGCGACGCAGCAAACGCAUUAAGUGCCCCGCCUGGGGAGUACGAUCGCAAGAUUAAAACUCAAAGGAAUUGACGG
rnacentral:rRNA from 1 species